UAAUUGUGAGUUCAAACGGAU
rnacentral:piRNA from 1 species